UUUUUUUUUUUUUUUUUUCCAGAUGGAGUCUCGCUCUAUUGCCCAGGCUGGAGUGCAGUGGCGUGAUCUCGGCUCACUGCAACCUCCACCUCCCGGGUUCAAGCGAUUCUCCUGCCUCAGCCUCCCAAGUAGCUGGGACUACAGGCGCCCACCACCACGCCCGGCUAAUUUUUGUAUUUUUCAUAGAGAUGGGGUUUCACCAUGUUGGCCAGGAUGGUCUCAAUCUCUUGACAUAGUGAUCCAUCUGCCUCGGCCUCCCAGAGUGCUGGGAUUAUAGGAACUUUUUCUUUUUAAGUGCCUUUGCUUUCCUAGUCUUCAUUGCUUUUUCUUCCCUUCCAUCACUGGCAUUAGCUCUUGGAUUUCUUUUUUUAGGAGCAUGAUUCACAGAGAAGCCAUUUUUGGUACAUUUUUAGGAAUCACAUCAUGAGCAUUACCUUGUAAACCUCAAAAGCCAUGCUGAGAUCUGGAUGUUGGAGUUCCCAAAUCCAGUCACUAGCAAAGCAAAUGGUUUUCAAAAGCCAAAUUAAUGAUUCUGCAAAAUGACAAAUUACUAUGUGUCAUAGACCUCAGGGAUCCCCAGAGAAUAGUGAAAACGGAGAAUGUUAAAGCCGGGAAUGCUAAUGGCAUCUGCGUUCACCUGUGAGGUGUGAGGGGGCCUCUGGGAAAGACUUGGCAACUAGUUCUUCUCUCCAGAUGCGGCUUGCUCUCGCUCACACUGAGCCACAGGUUUAGCUAAGUACUUGGUUACUAAGGAAACCCAAGUUGUCAGUCCUGAGCCAUAUGGGAAUAAUAGUGAUUUAUUUAGGAAAAGCAAGGUUUGUCACUUUAAGCUUUCUGCUACAAAAUUGCUUUUUGAUUACCUCCCUCCUUAUUGCAUUGUCUUGUCACAAUAAACUACAGAAACAAGUGGCAAGGUUAAUCAUUAUGGGCUCCGUUCUUGUCACUCUCAGGGCCCAGCAAGGUCACAGCUGCAGCCUGAGUGUAGCUGGCAGUCUUCUUCAAACUCCUCUGGAGAAGAGGGUUUCCCAGAGCCUCCUGACUUUACACUGCCCCAGGGCACUUCUGGCGCCACAGAGUUCCUAAAAAUCAGCCUUUCCAGUUCUUCUUCUUGUCCUCCUUUUUUAACCUGAUAUGAUCUCUUACAUUAUGUAUUUCAAUUUUUCCCUCUAGUCCUCCUAGUUCUGAAUGCAACCCAUCCUCCAGACCCAAUCAAAUGCCACUUCUUCUCUGAUUGAAGUCCUCCACUCAGGCCCACAGUUUGCACUCUCUGUCAAGACAGCUUAUUGAGUAACUAUACCAGUGCCCUGCACUAUGCUAGACUUUUCACAUAAGUUACCUUAUUUUGCCUUCACAACCAGCUACAAGUUGGACAUUGCUGGAUGUGCCCUGGCUUUGUGUCUCACCCAAAUUCAUAUGUUGAAUUUGCACUGGCUUUGUGCCCCCUGCAAAUUCUAACCCUGAAGUGAUAGUAUUAGGAGAUGGGGCCUUUAGGAGGUGAUUAGAUCAGGAAGGUGGAUCCCUCUUGAAUGGGAUUAGUGCCCUUAUAUAAGAGGCCACAGAGAGACCCUCACUCUUUUCUGCCAUGUGAUGUGACAUUGACAAGACCUGGGGGAUGCCCUGUGGGGCCUAUGAACAAGAAAGUAGAUGCUCACCAGAUACCAAAUUUGCAAGCACCUUGAUCUUGGACUUUCCAGCCUCCAGAACUUUGCAAAAUAAAUUUCUGUGGUUUAUAAUCUACACUGUUUUGUUAUAGCAGCAUGAAUAGACCAAGACAGUCAUCAUUACUAUAUUUGCUUUACACUGAAAGCAAGCGGUGCUCAGGGAGUGGGGUUCCUUGCCCCUGACUAUAGUUUCAUUAAGUGAAGACACCAAAUUGGACCAUCCAGCAUGGUCAGGCCCUUUCCACUACUCCAUGCAGUCUCUCUGCUUUCUCUCUCUCUAUCUAUAAACUUCCUCCACAGGAAGCCCUUUCUUGGCUGCCUCCCUUACUGUACUGAGAGUUCCCAAAAGGGUGUACUCAAGAGCACUUCUCAGUCUUCAUCUGACAGUCCACCAGCAGCCUCUGACACAGGGAAAGGCCUUCCUCUGUUGCCUUCCAGCACAUCUCACUGUGAUCGUCCUCCCACUGCACUGACUGUCCUGCUCUGUCUCCUUUGCUAGUUUCUCCUCAAUUCCUGGACUCCUGCAGGUUGAAGUGCUCUCGAACAUAAUACUCCAUCCUCUUUUCUGUCCCCGCCUGCUCUCUUGAUGUUCUCAUCCAGUCUUAUAACUUUUGUUGCCCUUUAUGUCCUGGUGACUCUCCCAACCCCACCACGUACCAUUUAAAAUUACAAACAAUUUUUUUUAGAGACAGAGUCUUGUUAUGUUAGUCUUGAACUCCUGUCCUCAAGUGAUCCUCCUUCCUUGGCCCCCCAAAGUGCUGGAAUUAUAAAUGUGUGCCUGGCCUCCCUUCUGCCCUUGCACAUAGUAAUUGUGUACUAUAUACUUUUACAUAUAGUCUAAUUUCACAUAUAGUAAACUGUGCAAACAUUAUAAUUUUAUGGGUCUUAUACUACACGAUUACAAAACAUAUGUAACCAUCACCCAGAUCAAGAUUGAACGUUUCUGUUACUCCAGAAAGUUCCCUUGUGCCCCUUUGUAGUCAGCAGCACCCCUCCCAUAGGGGACUCCUUUACAAUGAGUUUUGCCUGUUCUUGAAUUUCUUGUGUAUAUUCUUUUUGUGUUAUUUAUUAUCUAAUAACUACUUAACUAGACCUUAAAAAAUUAUGGAUAAUUUCAAACAUGUACAGAAGUAUAAAGGAUGGUAUUAUAAAUGUACAUGCUCUAGCACUCUACUCUCAUCAACUUUCCUCUCUUUCCAAUAGAGUAUUUAGAAGCAAAUCCUAAACAUAACACUGUUUGAACUAUAAAUAUUUUAAUAUAUUUUUUAAAGAUAAGGAUUUUUUUAUUAAACAUAAUCACAUACCAUUAUCACACCUAAUAAAAUGGCAAUAGCUUCUCAAUGUUAUCAAAUAUCUAGUCAGUGGUAUGGUUUGAAUUGGGAUCCAAAUGAUGUUUAUAUAUAACAUUCAGUUGACAUAUAGCUCUUUGGUCUCUAAAUGUAUGGAUACCUUUGUUUUAUUUUAUUGCAAUUUAUUUGUUGAAGAAACAGGGUUGUUUGUGUUAGGAGUUUGUCACAUUCUGGAUUUUGUUGACUGUAUCCACCUAGUGUCUUUAAACAUGUUCCUCUGUCUCCUGUAUUUCCUGUAAAUUAGUGAGCAGAUCUGGAGGCUUGAUUGGAGCCAGUUUUUGUAUUUUGGCAAAAGUACUUUAUAGCUGGUGUCUGAUGGGAAACACACUAUGUCCAGUUAGUGGCUUUGUGAUGCCAUUGAUGAUUACUGCCUAGCAUCAAUAUUUCAUCAGGGGUUAACAAAAUGGUGAUCAUCUAACUCUAUUAUUCUUUCUUAAUUUAUCAGAAUACUUCCCUCAUCAACUAUUUGAUUACCUGGAAGUGCAAUUCAAAAAGGAAAGGCAGCUUAAAUGCUUAAUUAUUUUGUCUUACUUCCCAGUUUUUGAAUAAUGAGUUUAUUCUUUAGCAUCCUCAAAGGGACCAAUGAUAUAUUUUUCAGUUUCAUUAUGAAGGCAUGGAUUUGCAAAUGUAUUAUGUGUAUGUCUACCCAUUGCAGUUAAUAUUCUUAUUGAAUGAAUUGUCCCAUCUUUGGCUGGUGUAAACCUCUUCACGCUGGCUGAGUUGAUGACCCUUACAUUUUUAUCUUUAUUUCAGGCCUCUCCCCUGAACUCUAGAUUUACAUGACCAACUCCCUAUCUAACAUUUUAAGAUAAAGCACCUCGGACUUAAUAUUUACCAAGUCAAACACUGGAUCCCCAAAUUCCUGGCACCGAAGACCUCCCAAUCUUAUUCAGUGGCAACUGCAUCUUUCCAGUUGCUUGGACCAGAAUCUUGGAACUAUCCUUGGCUCUCCUUUUCUUUUCACACCCAAAAUCCAGCAGAUACUGCUGGCUCUGUUUUCAAAAUAUAUGAACAGUCGAAUCACUUUUAACCAGCUGCACUGCUGCCACCCUGAACUAAGCUUUCAGCACCUCUCACCUGAAUUAAGUCCAUAAUCUCCUAACUGUUCCCCUCGACUCCACUCUUUCUCCCUACAGUCUUCUCAGUAAACAGCCUUGGUGGUGCUGUUCAAAUAAAGCCAUAUCAUAAAACUCUUAAGAUCAACACUGUCAAGGCCUUCCUAUCUCAUUCGGAGAAAAA
rnacentral:lncRNA from 1 species